rnacentral:rRNA from 1 species
UACGAAGGGGGCAAGCGUUGUUCGGAAUUACUGGGCGUAAAGGGCGCGUAGGCGGCUUAUCAAGUCAGGCGUGAAAUUCCCGGGCUCAACCUGGGGGCUGCGCUUGAUACUGAUUGGCUUGAAUGCGGGAGAGGAUAGUGGAAUUCCCAGUGUAGAGGUGAAAUUCGUAGAUAUUGGGAAGAACACCGGUGGCGAAGGCGGCUAUCUGGCCCGUAAUUGACGCUGAGGCGCGAAAGCGUGGGGAGCGAACAGG